UACGGGGGGAGCAAGCGUUGUUCGGAUUUACUGGGCGUAAAGGGCGCGUAGGCGGCGCAACAAGUCACUUGUGAAAUCUCCGGGCUUAACCCGGAGCGGCCAAGUGAUACUGUCGUGCUAGAGUGCGGAAGGGGCCACUGGAAUUCUCGGUGUAGCGGUGAAAUGCGUAGAUAUCGAGAGGAACACCUGCGGCGAAGGCGGGUAGCUGGGCCGACACUGACGCUGAGGCGCGAAAGCCAGGGGAGCGAACGGG
rnacentral:rRNA from 1 species